GGGGGCGGGGCCGGUAACUUGCCAGUAGGCAAGGGACGCCACCAGUUAGUUGGGGUCUACAGAACAGACCCGUUUUUCUAUGGUGAUCAGUUGAAGAAUAUCGUCAUUUGUUGAAAUGAACCAGUGCCCUUGAUUUCUUAGAAGAGGUGAAGGGAAAUGAUCACAAACCACGUUAUUUUUCAGUGUAUCACCUGACUUCAUGAAAUGUUGACAGAUAGCCAAGACAUAGUGAUUCAACAGUUGGAAUACAAUAAAAUGAUUACAUGUCAUCCCGAGAAAGAUCUGUAAGUGAGAAUGUACAGUAAUCCAUUUCAAACUCUGGCUUUCGUGGAUUUAGACCAGGCUCCCCCGGAGAAAGAAGAGGAAGAGAAGAAAGGCGAGGGUGUAUGGAUUUUUUAUGUUGAUUACAACAAGGCUUUCCAUGAGCAGCGGAAUAUCUCAUUAAAAAAAACCCUGGGGCUUCCCUGGUGGCGCAGCGGUUGAGAGUCCGCCUGCCGAUGCAGGGGACACGGGUUCGUGCCCCGGUCCGGGAGGAUCCCACACGCCGUGGAGCGGCUGGGCCCGUGAGCCAUGGCCGCUGAGCCUGCGCGUCCGGAGCCUGUGCUCCGGGACGGGAGAGACCACAACAGUGAGAGAGGCCCGCGUACCGCAAAAACAAACAAACAAACAAAAAACCUGCAUCCCCAAAGGCAGGAAAAGGUAAAAAUGCCCUUUCUUCUGAGGACAUGGUGGAGUUCUUGUUUGUGGCUCCUUGUGCGGAAUUGAACCAAGGUGAUUGCAGCAAC